rnacentral:ncRNA from 1 species
GUUUUGAUCCUAAACUUACCGCUAUUUUUAAUCAAAAUUAUACAUGCAAGCAUCAACAAACCAGUGAAAAUGCCCAAUUCCUAACACAACCGGAGCAGGUAUCAGGCACAACACACAACCUUUGGCCAAUAACACCUUGCUUUGCCACACCUACACAGGUACUCAGCAGUAAUUAACAUUAGGCCAUAAGCGCAAGCUUGACCUAGAUAUGAUUUACAGGGCCGGUAAAUUUCGUGCCAGCAACCGCGGUUAUACGAAAAGCCCAAAAUAACAUAAACGGCGAAAAGCGUGACUAGAAUCCAUUCAUCUGAUGCAAAAAGAUAAACUAAGACUCAGCAGUAAAACGCCUAAGUCCCAAGAACACCAACCCUCUUAGCUAAGCUGAACAUUAACUCACAAAGACUAGGAAACAAACUAGGAUUAGAUACCCUACUAUGCCUAAUUAUAACCUUAGACCCCCGUCCGCCAGAGAACUACCAGCGAAAAGCUUAAAACUCAAAGGAUUUGGCGGUGCUCCACCCAACCUAGAGGAGCCUGUCCUAUAAUCGAUACCCCACGAACCAUCUUUAGUUCACCACAGCCUAUAUACCGCCGUCGCCAGCUUAUCUUGCAAAAACCCAAAAAUAAGCAAAAUAGUCUACCACUAAAACGUCAGGUCAAGGCGUAGCUAAUGAGAUGGCAGCGAUGGGCUACACUCUCUAAAACAGAGAAAACGAAAGAUAUAGUGCAACCCUAUAUCAAAAGGCGGAUUUAGAAGUAAAAUUAGCCAGAACACUAACUUUAAAACAGCCCUGGAGCGCGCACACACCGCCCGUCACCCUCCUCAACACACCCACAGACCUUUAAUAUAUACCAACCUACUAAACCAGAGGAGGCAAGUCGUAACAUGGUAAGCGCACCGGAAGGUGUGCUUGGAAUCAAAAAGUAGCUUA